CGUGCUAGCAGCCGCGAUAAUACGUAGGAUGCGAGCGUUGUCCGGAAUUAUUGGACGUAAAGAGCUUGUAGGCGGUCUGUCGCGUCUGCUGUGAGAAUCCGGAGCUCAACCCUGGACUUGCAGUGAGUACGAGCAGACUAGAGUGUGGUAGAGGAGACUGGAAUUCCUGGUGUAGCAGUGGAAUGCGCAGAUAUCAGGAGGAACACUGAUGGCGAAGGUAGGUCUCUGGGCCACUACUGACGCUGAGAAGCGAAGGCAUGAGGAGCGAACAGGAUUAGAUAUCCUGGUAGUCCAUGCCGUAAGCGUUAGGCGCUAGGUGUAGGACUCAUUCCACGAGUUCCGUGCCGCAGCUAACGCAUCAAGCGCCUCGCCUGGGGAGUACGGCCGCAAGGCUAAAACUCAAAGGAAUUGACGAGGGCU
rnacentral:rRNA from 1 species